rnacentral:lncRNA from 15 species
CUAAUCCCAGAGUGAAUGUGGAGCUGCGACAGCGUCUGCCUGCACCGCAGCCACUCAGCAGCCCUGCCAGCCCCUCAACACCUUGAAGAGCCUCCAACCUCCUGCUCACCCUCCCCGUUGACCCACAGGAGGUCCGUCUCUCCUGUCUCACCUCCCUUCCACAGGAGGUCCGUCUCUCCUGUCUCACCUCCCUUCCACAGGAGGUCCGUCUCUCCUGUCUCACCUCCCCUCCACAGGAGGUCCGUCUCUCCUGUCUCUCAGUUGUCCUUGUGGCCUCCAGGAGGUGCAGGGGAGAUGGAGACGGACCUUUCCCCCAGCCGAGGCCCUUCUCCUCGGGCAGAGAGCUGUGGAGACGUCCCCGAUGGAGGACGAGCAUCCAGAGGUCCUGGUAGUCCUGGAAUCAGGAGACAGCUGGUCAGCACUGACGACAGGUGA